rnacentral:rRNA from 1 species
AUUGAACGCUGGCGGCAUGCCUUACACAUGCAAGUCGAACGGCAGCACGGGAGCAAUCCUGGUGGCGAGUGGCGAACGGGUGAGUAAUAUAUCGGAACGUGCCCAGUCGUGGGGGAUAACGCAGCGAAAGCUGUGCUAAUACCGCAUACGAUCUCUGGAUGAAAGCGGGGGACUCGCAAGGGCCUCGCGCGAUUGGAGCGGCCGAUAUCAGAUUAGCUAGUUGGCGGGGUAAAGGCCCACCAAGGCGACGAUCUGUAGCUGGUCUGAGAGGACGACCAGCCACACUGGAACUGAGACACGGUCCAGACUCCU